rnacentral:lncRNA from 1 species
CUUUGGAUUUCAAAUGGAUAGCACAGGGUGGUAAGGGAUUCCUCUCUAGACAAGACAUAAUGGAUAAGGAGGGCAGUUAGUCUGCUAAUGGAAAGGGAAAACAUUUAGCAAGAAAUAGUUUGUCAAACAGAAGAUGGAAUUUUAUCCCCAUGUAGUCAGAUUUCCAUUUCCUCUCAAUUCUGGGUUUUCAGAAGUUAGGAGCCUCUUGUUGGCUUUUGUUUUCCUGAAAGCAACUGGCAGAUCGGAACCAAAAACACUAACCUCUCUUCUAGUCUACUGGGCUGAUCUCUCUUAAAAUUGGCAAUUUCUGCAAAAUUUUCACUUUUUGUAUACCUGGGUGUUUAAUAUUAAUACAUAGAACAUAGGGAGGAUUUUUUUUACAUGAGGAUCUGAAUGUUUCCCCCCAGAAAGAUUUCAUGCUGAAUGAGGAAGGAUUUAUCCCAAAUGGGAAAAACACAAGUCGAUUCUAGUCAUGGUUGGAAGUCUUGGGGAACUGUCUGAACAAAACUCCCCCGGUCCUCUGGACAAUGAUGGUUGAGGAGCUAUUCCCCUCUUCCUCACUUAGGAAUGGGAGAUUCACCUCAGAACCCCUUCGAGGGGAACCUGGUGGACUCCUUUUAAUUCAAUUAAUUCAGCCUUUUUCAGUUUUUUUACUUCUCCUCUCUUCCCCUUUCCCCUUUCCCCAAGCCCUGGAAAGGAAAGUUUAUAAGUAGAAUUUCAAACCACUAAAACUUAGAAAAGGCCUUAGGGAGUGGAGCUUACACAUGCCAUGAGUCCCUCUAGAUAAAUCUUGUUUCCUCUUUCCCUGUAAUUGAGCCAGUCAGUGGCAACAUUCAAGAAUAUCUUGAUCCCACCCCCACCCCCUACUAUUUCUUAUGGGUCAUCCUAUUGGAAAAAAAGAGGUUACCUGUAAACAUCCUUCAAUAAGUCCAAGCUUCUUUCCCUUUCAAUGGGCCAAAUCCUUUUACUUUUAACUUUUUCCCAUCCCUUUCUUAAUUUUGCCUUUGUCAGUCCUACCACAUCAUUUCCUGUUUUUAAUCCAAAAGGAAGAUAUACAAAGAUGAGUUCAGAUCACCCUCCCAUGACUAAAUUGGCCUUGUCAAACAUUUUCUAUAUCUAUACAUAUAUAUCCAUAUGUGUAUAAAUAUAUGUGUGUGCCAAUGAAUCUAACUCUUAGAUCUAUUGCAAGCAGUCCACAAAUAGGAGUUUUGAGUUUCUUUGGUUUCCCCAGUAACUCAUAGCAAGCACUGGUAUUUUUGUAUAAAAAGGAAAAAACAAAACAAAAGACUUAAGUAUUUGUGGUAUGCAUGACUUAAAAAGUAAAUGGUGGUUUUAAAGCAAUAUGUAUCCUGGCAUGUGUGGCGAUGCUCUGCAGUUCUGCUUAACUGUGUACCCAGUCUGUACCUGCAUUCUAACAAUAUUUAAGCUCUAUGUACCAUGUUUUGCAUGUAUUUAUAUGGGGUUUUUUUGGUGGGGGGAGAUAGAAUGAACUGUCAACACUUCUGGGAACAUUAAAACUUAAACGAGACAGUUGACUGAGAUGAGAAGACUAAAAGAGAUUUUUUAGAAGAAAAUAAAAAUGAUAAUUUUAUUUAAAUUUUGGGGGGAACCAAUAAUGCUUUCUGCUGUGGAGCAGAAACCAAUGCCGCUGUACACUGAAAAUAAAAACCCCAUGCCCACUUCUAAUUGUAAUGUCCUCAAUGUGUCUCCACUUAAGGUAUG